UACGGAGGGGGCUAGCGUUGUUCGGAAUUACUGGGCGUAAAGCGCACGUAGGCGGCUUUGUAAGUUAGAGGUGAAAGCCCGGAGCUCAACUCCGGAAUUGCCUUUAAGACUGCAUCGCUUGAAUCAUGGAGAGGUGAGUGGAAUUCCCAGUGUAGAGGUGAAAUUCGUAGAUAUUGGGAAGAACACCGGUGGCGAAGGCGGCUCACUGGCUCGUAACUGACGCUCAUGCACGACAGCGUGGGGAUCAAACAGG
rnacentral:rRNA from 1 species